GACGAACGCUGGCGGCGUGCUUAACACAUGCAAGUCGAACGGAAAGGCCCUGCUUUUGUGGGGUGCUCGAGUGGCGAACGGGUGAGUAACACGUGAGUAACCUGCCCUUGACUUUGAGAUAACUUCAGGAAACUGGGGCUAAUACCGGAUAGGAGCUCCUGCUGCAUGGUGGGGGUUGGAAAGUUUCGGCGGUUGGGGAUGGACUCGCGGCUUAUCAGCUUGUUGGUGGGGUAGUGGCUUACCAAGGCUUUGACGGGUAGCUGGCCUGAGAGGGUGACCGGCCACAUUGGGACUGAGAUACGGCCCAGACUCCUACGGGAGGCAGCAGUGGGGAAUAUUGCACAAUGGGCGGAAGCCUGAUGCAGCAACGCCGCGUGCGGGAUGACGGCCUUCGGGUUGUAAACCGCUUUCGCCUGUGACGAAGCGUGAGUGACGGUAAUGGGUAAAGAAGCACCGGCUAACUACGUG
rnacentral:rRNA from 1 species